rnacentral:rRNA from 2 species
AGCGUACACGGUGGAUGCCCUGGCAGUCAGAGGCGAUGAAGGACGUGCUAAUCUGCGAUAAGCGUCGGUAAGGUGAUAUGAACCGUUAUAACCGGCGAUUUCCGAAUGGGGAAACCCAGUGUGAUUCGUCACACUAUCAUUAACUGAAUCCAUAGGUUAAUGAGGCGAACCGGGGGAACUGAAACAUCUAAGUACCCCGAGGAAAAGAAAUCAACCGAGAUUCCCCCAGUAGCGGCGAGCGAACGGGGAGCAGCCCAGAGCCUGAAUCAGUGUGUGUGUUAGUGGAAGCGUCUGGAAAGGCGCGCGAUACAGGGUGACAGCCCCGUACACAAAAAUGCACAUGCUGUGAGCUCGAUGAGUAGGGCGGGACACGUGGUAUCCUGUCUGAAUAUGGGGGGACCAUCCUCCAAGGCUAAAUACUCCUGACUGACCGAUAGUGAACCAGUACCGUGAGGGAAAGGCGAAAAGAACCCCGGCGAGGGGAGUGAAAAAGAACCUGAAACCGUGUACGUACAAGCAGUGGGAGCACAGAGCAAUCUGUGUGACUGCGUACCUUUUGUAUAAUGGGUCAGCGACUUAUAUUCUGUAGCAAGGUUAACCGAAUAGGGGAGCCGAAGGGAAACCGAGUCUUAACUGGGCGUUAAGUUGCAGGGUAUAGACCCGAAACCCGGUGAUCUAGCCAUGGGCAGGUUGAAGGUUGGGUAACACUAACUGGAGGACCGAACCGACUAAUGUUGAAAAAUUAGCGGAUGACUUGUGGCUGGGGGUGAAAGGCCAAUCAAACCGGGAGAUAGCUGGUUCUCCCCGAAAGCUAUUUAGGUAGCGCCUCGUGAAUUCAUCUCCGGGGGUAGAGCACUGUUUCGGCAAGGGGGUCAUCCCGACUUACCAACCCGAUGCAAACUGCGAAUACCGGAGAAUGUUAUCACGGGAGACACACGGCGGGUGCUAACGUCCGUCGUGAAGAGGGAAACAACCCAGACCGCCAGCUAAGGUCCCAAAGUCAUGGUUAAGUGGGAAACGAUGUGGGAAGGCCCAGACAGCCAGGAUGUUGGCUUAGAAGCAGCCAUCAUUUAAAGAAAGCGUAAUAGCUCACUGGUCGAGUCGGCCUGCGCGGAAGAUGUAACGGGGCUAAACCAUGCACCGAAGCUGCGGCAGCGACGCUUAUGCGUUGUUGGGUAGGGGAGCGUUCUGUAAGCCUGUGAAGGUGUACUGUGAGGUAUGCUGGAGGUAUCAGAAGUGCGAAUGCUGACAUAAGUAACGAUAAAGCGGGUGAAAAGCCCGCUCGCCGGAAGACCAAGGGUUCCUGUCCAACGUUAAUCGGGGCAGGGUGAGUCGACCCCUAAGGCGAGGCCGAAAGGCGUAGUCGAUGGGAAACAGGUUAAUAUUCCUGUACUUGGUGUUACUGCGAAGGGGGGACGGAGAAGGCUAUGUUGGCCGGGCGACGGUUGUCCCGGUUUAAGCGUGUAGGCUGGUUUUCCAGGCAAAUCCGGAAAAUCAAGGCUGAGGCGUGAUGACGAGGCACUACGGUGCUGAAGCAACAAAUGCCCUGCUUCCAGGAAAAGCCUCUAAGCAUCAGGUAACAUCAAAUCGUACCCCAAACCGACACAGGUGGUCAGGUAGAGAAUACCAAGGCGCUUGAGAGAACUCGGGUGAAGGAACUAGGCAAAAUGGUGCCGUAACUUCGGGAGAAGGCACGCUGAUAUGUAGGUGAAGUCCCUCGCGGAUGGAGCUGAAAUCAGUCGAAGAUACCAGCUGGCUGCAACUGUUUAUUAAAAACACAGCACUGUGCAAACACGAAAGUGGACGUAUACGGUGUGACGCCUGCCCGGUGCCGGAAGGUUAAUUGAUGGGGUUAGCGCAAGCGAAGCUCUUGAUCGAAGCCCCGGUAAACGGCGGCCGUAACUAUAACGGUCCUAAGGUAGCGAAAUUCCUUGUCGGGUAAGUUCCGACCUGCACGAAUGGCGUAAUGAUGGCCAGGCUGUCUCCACCCGAGACUCAGUGAAAUUGAACUCGCUGUGAAGAUGCAGUGUACCCGCGGCAAGACGGAAAGACCCCGUGAACCUUUACUAUAGCUUGACACUGAACAUUGAGCCUUGAUGUGUAGGAUAGGUGGGAGGCUUUGAAGUGUGGACGCCAGUCUGCAUGGAGCCGGCCUUGAAAUACCACCCUUUAAUGUUUGAUGUUCUAACGUGGACCCGUAAUCCGGGUUGCGGACAGUGUCUGGUGGGUAGUUUGACUGGGGCGGUCUCCUCCUAAAGAGUAACGGAGGAGCACGAAGGUUGGCUAAUCCUGGUCGGACAUCAGGAGGUUAGUGCAAUGGCAUAAGCCAGCUUGACUGCGAGCGUGACGGCGCGAGCAGGUGCGAAAGCAGGUCAUAGUGAUCCGGUGGUUCUGAAUGGAAGGGCCAUCGCUCAACGGAUAAAAGGUACUCCGGGGAUAACAGGCUGAUACCGCCCAAGAGUUCAUAUCGACGGCGGUGUUUGGCACCUCGAUGUCGGCUCAUCACAUCCUGGGGCUGAAGUAGGUCCCAAGGGUAUGGCUGUUCGCCAUUUAAAGUGGUACGCGAGCUGGGUUUAGAACGUCGUGAGACAGUUCGGUCCCUAUCUGCCGUGGGCGCUGGAGAACUGAGGGGGGCUGCUCCUAGUACGAGAGGACCGGAGUGGACGCAUCACUGGUGUUCGGGUUGUCAUGCCAAUGGCACUGCCCGGUAGCUAAAUGCGGAAGAGAUAAGUGCUGAAAGCAUCUAAGCACGAAACUUGCCCCGAGAUGAGUUCUCCCUGACUCCUUGA